rnacentral:lncRNA from 1 species
UUAAUCCCACACUUAAGUCGAUGUCACCUGAAAACCGCCGUGACAAACCUGUACAUCUUCCACACGUAUAAAUACUAAUGACUUUACAACGAGCCAUUGACUAGUGAGACUUUCCGGUUCAGAAAGUGCAGGUGGCACAGAAAAAUGAAGACGUUUUCAUCAAAAUAUAAAGACAGAAGAGUUGUUUGCAAGAGGAAACUGCUGAACCAUGGGACCCAACAUGAGAAGUCUGAAACUUAUCAUGUCUGUGCCAUAGCCACCAUCCCACCAUCUCAUGACCCAAAACCUAACAUACUCUACAGCGCCUGACACAACGGAUCCUCAUGGUCCACACUAGAGCAAUAGAGUAAGUUCUCCCUUGUACUUGACUUUCCCUUGCACCAACCAUUCCACAGCUCCAUGACAAAGCCUGGGGGAUAACACCAUGGACAUCUGUGUCCAUCAAGGCUCAGCUUCAUGUGUCUUUCAGGCUCUCCCCUGUCUGAUGUUCACAAUGGUGGAGCUCCUGUUCUCCCUUGGUUUCAUGGUAGUCUCCUGCAUGAAACCAAGAGUUU